rnacentral:rRNA from 1 species
UGGGGAAUUUUGGACAAUGGGCGAAAGCCUGAUCCAGCAAUGCCGCGUGUGUGAAGAAGGCCUUCGGGUUGUAAAGCACUUUUGUCCGGAAAGAAAUCCUUGGCUCUAAUACAGUCGGGGGAUGACGGUACCGGAAGAAUAAGCACCGGCUAACUACGUGCCAGCAGCCGCGGUAAUACGUAGGGUGCAAGCGUUAAUCGGAAUUACUGGGCGUAAAGCGUGCGCAGGCGGUUUUGUAAGACGGAUGUGAAAUCCCCGGGCUUAACCUGGGAACUGCAUUCGUGACUGCAAGGCUAGAGUAUGGCAGAGGGGGGUUAGAAUUCCACGUGUAGCAGUGAAAUGCGUAGAGAUGUGGAGGAAUACCGAUGGCGAAGGCAGCCCCCUGGGCCAAUACUGACGCUCAUGCACGAAAGCGUGGGGAGCAAACAGGAUUAGAUACCCUGGUAGUCCACGCCCUAAACGAUGUCAACUAGUUGUUGGGGAUUCAUUUCCUUAGUAACGUAGCUAACGCGUGAAGUUGACCGCCUGGGGAGUACGGUCGCAAGAUU